GGAUGAACGCUGGCGGCGUGCUUAACACAUGCAAGUCGAACGGACCUUCGGGUUAGUGGCGGACGGGUGAGUAACGCGUGGGAAUCUGCCCUCAGGAGGGGGACAACAGCUGGAAACGGCUGCUAAUACCCCAUAUGCCGAGAGGUGAAAUGAAAUUCGCCUGAGGAUGAGCCCGCGUCUGAUUAGCUAGUUGGUGUGGUAAAGGCUCACCAAGGCAUCGAUCAGUAGCUGGUCUGAGAGGAUGAUCAGCCACACUGGGACUGAGACACGGCCCAGACUCCUACGGGAGGCAGCAGUGGGGAAUUUUCCGCAAUGGGCGCAAGCCUGACGGAGCAACGCCGCGUGAGGGACGAAGGCCUCUGGGCUGUAAACCUCUUUUCUCAAGGAAGAAGACAUGACGGUACUUGAGGAAUAAGCCACGGCUAAUUCCGUGCCAGCAGCCGCGGUAAUACGGGAGUGGCAAGCGUUAUCCGGAAUUAUUGGGCGUAAAGCGUCCGCAGGCGGCCCAGAAAGUCUGUUGUUAAAAAGUGGAGCUCAACUCCAUCCAGGCAAUGGAAACUACUGGGCUAGAGUGUGGUAGGGGCAGAGGGAAUUCCCGGUGUAGCGGUGAAAUGCGUAGAUAUCGGGAAGAACACCAGUGGCGAAGGCGCUCUGCUGGGCCAUAACUGACGCUCAUGGACGAAAGCCAGGGGAGCGAAAGGGAUUAGAUACCCCUGUAGUCCUGGCCGUAAACGAUGAACACUAGGUGUCGGGGGAAUCGACCCCCUCGGUGUCGUAGCCAACGCGUUAAGUGUUCCGCCUGGGGAGUACGCACGCAAGUGUGAAACUCAAAGGAAUUGACGGGGGCCCGCACAAGCGGUGGAGUAUGUGGUUUAAUUCGAUGCAACGCGAAGAACCUUACCAGGGCUUGACAUCCUGCGAACCCCUGAGAGAUCGGGGGGUGCCUUCGGGAACGCAGUGACAGGUGGUGCAUGGCUGUCGUCAGCUCGUGUCGUGAGAUGUUGGGUUAAGUCCCGCAACGAGCGCAACCCACGUCUUUAGUUGCCAGCAUUCAGUUGGGCACUCUAGAGAGACCGCCGGUGAUAAACCGGAGGAAGGUGUGGAUGACGUCAAGUCAUCAUGCCCCUUACGUCCUGGGCUACACACGUACUACAAUGCUACGGACAAAGGGCAGCAAACUCGCGAGAGCUAGCAAAUCCCAUAAACCGUGGCUCAGUUCAGAUCGUAGGCUGCAACUCGCCUACGUGAAGGAGGAAUCGCUAGUAAUCGCAGGUCAGCAUACUGCGGUGAAUACGUUCCCGGGCCUUGUACACACCGCCCGUCACACCAUGGAAGUUGGCCAUGCCCGAAGUCGUUACUCCAACCCGUAAGGGAGGAGGACG
rnacentral:rRNA from 1 species